GGGGGUAUGGCGAAAUGGUAGACGCUACGGACUUAAAAUCCGUUGGUCCCUGCUGCAAACCGUGAGGGUUCAAAUCCCUCUAUCCCCA
rnacentral:tRNA from 2 species